rnacentral:rRNA from 1 species
AUUGAACGCUGGCGGCAUGCUUUACACAUGCAAGUCGAACGGCAGCGCGGGCUUCGGCCUGGCGGCGAGUGGCGAACGGGUGAGUAAUGCAUCGGAACGUGCCCAGUAGUGGGGGAUAGCGCGGCGAAAGCCGGAUUAAUACCGCAUACGACCUGAGGGUGAAAGCGGGGGACCGAAAGGCCUCGCGCUAUUGGAGCGGCCGAUGUCGGAUUAGCUAGUUGGUGGGGUAAAGGCUUACCAAGGCGACGAUCCGUAGCUGGUCUGAGAGGACGACCAGCCACACUGGGACUGAGACACGGCCCAGACUCCUACGGGAGGCAGCAGUGGGGAAUUUUGGACAAUGGGGGCAACCCUGAUCCAGCCAUGCCGCGUGCGGGAAGAAGGUCUUCGGGUUGUAAACCGCUUUUGUUCGGGAAGAAAUCCUCUGAGCUAAUACCCCGGGGGGAUGACGGUACCGGAAGAAUAAGCACCGGCUAACUACGUG